GACGAACGCUGGCGGCGUGCUUAACACAUGCAAGUCGAACGGAAAGGCCCUGCUUUUGUGGGGUGCUCGAGUGGCGAACGGGUGAGUAACACGUGAGUAACCUGCCCUUGACUUUGGGAUAACUUCAGGAAACUGGGGCUCAUACCGGAUAGGAUCUCCUGCUGCAUGGUGGGGGUUGGAAAGUUUCGGCGGUUGGGGAUGGACUCGCGGCUUAUCAGCUUGUUGGUGGGGUAGUGGCUUACCAAGGCUUUGACGGGUAGCCGGCCUGAGAGGGUGAACGGCCACAUUGGGACUGAGAUACGGCCCAGACGCCUACGGGAGGCAGAAGUGGGGAAUAUUGCACAAUGGGCGGAAGUCUGAUGCAGCAACGCCGCGUGCGGGAUGACGGCCUUCGGGUGGUAAACCGCUUUCGCCGGUGACGAAGCGUGAGUGACGGUAAUGGGUAAAGAAGCACCGGCUAACUACGUG
rnacentral:rRNA from 1 species